GGUGCCUAUGUUAAUGUAUGAAAAUUCUAAGAGCGAAUCAUUUCAGUCAAAUUUCCAAUUGAUUAAACCUAAAAAAAACCCAAGGAUUUAGAUCUGUCAUCUUUUUCCAACUUUUUAAGUUUGGUUGUUUAUAUACUACCAAUUUAUAAGUCUUUUAAAAAGCUUGUUGUUCUAAAAUAGAGGAGCUAGCAUCCUUCUAGCAAUGAUAAAAUAUAUGUGAUGAGGGAAAAAAAUUAAAAUAUGUGACUGGGGAAUGAGAGAGCAUGGUGGUUUAUACUGAAAUUAUAUAAAUAAAAUAGUUCAGUUGUUGUCUUGAAAAGUUUUUGGACAUCAAAAUCUUAAUUAAUGUCUUUAUAAUACUGAUUAAAACAAAACCUGAUAUAUUUUACAGGAUAUCCAGAUCCCAUGGUUUGUUUAUCUUCCCUUACAUAAGGUAAUGACUACUAACUAUAUUUCAACUACUGGUAAUAACUCAAUGUGUAGUUCUUUAUCAGUAUAUAAAUUGUAAACUAAUUAAAAUAUGUGAUGAAAGUACCAGGCAGCAUAAAAAAUGUUACAAAAUGUUAAAUGAGUACAAAGGUCUGUUAUACUUUGAGCAAGAACAAACAUUCACAUAAUUAUGAUGAAAAAUGCUAGAUUUAAUAUAUGCAAUACUGUGGACUCAUUAUUAUUUGUAGGAUACCAAUUUUUGUUGAUUUCAUGGGUUGAUGUAAACCAUGAAUUUAUAAAUGUUUGUUUGCAGACUUUGGCAAAACUAUUAAAUCAAAUAUCUGCCAAACUACAGAUUUCCCUCAAUCUACUAAAACUGGUACCCAUGAAUCCACAGUACAAGUUCAUUCAAUAACAUUGUAUACACAGCAACUUAUAUAAUGUGGAAUUGUUACGGAGACAAGGAAGAUAACUGGCUCACAAGAGAUAAACAUUCAAUGUUCAGGUUUUUAAGUUCCAAAAUAUCUAUAAAUGACUUAAAUGACAAUAUUAUGUGAAACUGUAUGGACUGGCCUUAUAAACAUAUUAAAAUCUCCAUCACUUAACUUCCAAAUGUUUUCAAAGUUUUGACUCUUCCUCAUUUGUAACCAGACUCUAUAAAAUUUCGAAACUAAUUAGAGUCUUUCCAAAUGUUUGUAAUUUUAAACGUGAAAACUCAAUUAAAGUUGAAAAUAAAAACUAUACUGGUUGGAACUGUAAAAUCCUGUGAGCAAUAAAACAGAGUCAAUGUAAUCAUUACAGGCAAAAUUAAAAUUGCAGCAAUAAAAGUGAUUGACACAGAUAUGUAUAUGAAAAAAAGGAAUAAAUUAUACAAUCAGAAGUUAUUUUCGUGUCCUGCCAGUACAUAUAGAUUGGAAUUUGCAUUAAGAUCGUCUGUUGGUCUGCUCUGUAAUACAAUAACCCUGCAAAAGAUAAAGAAUAUUAAAAAGAUAUCUUAGUAUUUGUGAAAUCUCAACCAAAGUUAACAGUAAAUAAACUUAACACAGAUAUAUAUGUAGGACUCUAAAGUGCGAUGGUACUCUAAAGUGCGAUGGUCACGCUAAAGUACGAUGGUCUACGCUAAAGUGCGUUGGUGUCGGACGCUAAAGUGCGAUGGUGUCGGACGCUAAAGUGCGAUGGUUGUUUGUUUUUAAAGUGCGAUUAGAAAUCACGCUAAAGUGCGAUGGUUUGACACGCUAAAGUCCGAUGGUGUAACGGGAAUGUGGUUCAGGCAAUGGUUUUCGUUUGUUGCUGAGUUCCUAUUACAUUUUCGUUUAAAUUGUUUUGAUUAUGUGUCAAGCCGUAGUCUUUAUCUUUUGAAUUGUUUUACACUGGUCAUUGUAUAACCCUAUAUAGCCUGUAGUGGCAUGGACCAAUGCUUUACUUUGACGGCCGUAUGAUUAUUAGCCGCAUACAUGAACGGCAUUUGGAAUUGAAUGGAUAGUUUACUCUACAUCUUCUUAUGUUUAUUUAAAGUACGAUAGUUGUUUAAAAGGUGUAAUGGUUACACAGAAGUAUUGUUUGUACAUCUGGAAUGUAGUGGAAGUCGUUUUUUUAAUAAAAAUAUUAUGUUAUAAGACAAUGCCCAGUGUUAAAGAUCAUACUUAAAGUUUCAUAUUUCAAUGACAUUAGGUCGAAGAUAGAUAGUUGUCGUAUAUUGGCAAUCAUAUAGUAUGAUGAUACUACAAAUCUGUUUGUUAGGUUGCUGUCUAAUUGACAUAUGCUAGUAUUUAUUAUUUAACAGAAAAAACAAACCGUAUAGUAUUUUUUUUGUAUUGAAUAAUUCAAUUAGAAAGUAAAUGUUUUGAUUAAAGUUAUUUCUACAAUUUCAUAAAUUAAGUUAAACUAUUCCAGGAACGACCAAAAAUUCCAGAUUGUGAUCAUUUUUUUUUUUCUUCUCUUGUUUUUUUUUCUCGUGUAAUAAAAAUCCUUAAUCUGGACAAACAUUCUCGUCAUAAUGCUUUCAAACGUUUAUAACGUCGAUGUAUUUGCAGAAAAACGCACAUUAGUGUAUCAAACCAUCGUACUUUAGCGUAGGCCAUCGCACUUUAGCGUGACCAUCACAUUUUAGCGUCCCCAUCGCACUUUAGAGUCCUACAUAUAUACCUCACCUUUUUAUAAUUUUGAUAAUGAAAGUCUUUAGAUUAAAAACUAGAGGCUCUCAAGAGCCUGUGUCGCUCACCUGUUACUGUAUUUACUGAUGUCAGCCAUCUCGGUUGGUAGGCGGGGUCAUUAGACACUUUUUUAAAAUAGAUACCCUAGUAAUGAUUGUGGCCAAGUUUGGUUAAAUUUGACCCAUAGUUUUAGAAAAGAAGAUUUUUGUACAAGUUACAAAAAUGACAAAAAGUUGUUCAAUAUUGACUAUAAAGGACAAUAACUCCUUAAGGGGUUCUCUGACAAUUUUGGUCAUGUUGACUUAUUUGUAGAUCUUAAUUUGCUGAACAUAAU
rnacentral:lncRNA from 1 species